CUUAACAGGAUUUAGUGACUAACUGGAUGUAGAGAGUGGAUGAUGAAAGGUGGAAAGGAGUAAGUUCCAGAGUCCUAGCAUGUGAGAAUGAGUAGAUGAAGAUCCAUCAACCAGACUAGCGAUAUAAAAGGAAGAGUAUGUCUUAGAGGUGAAAUCAUGAUCAAUUUUGGACAUGCAGAGUGAGAGAUUUCUGAGGAAAUCCAGCCUGAGGAAAGCCUACAUGGAGGAGAAAAGAUGAGAGAAAAUGAAAAGGAGCUGAAUGAAAGCCCUGGAAGAGCUAUAUCCGAAGCCAGGCUAUUUCUGGUCUUUUCAGAUACUUGAGCUAAUCAAUUCCAUUUGUUGUUUAAGAUAAUUUGAGUUGUAUUUUCUAUUUUUCAUAUCCAAAAAUACCCAAGGUGAUACACCAACACUAUAAAGUUCAAACUCAAAAUCUGGCAUAUGUCCACUCUCUAAUAACAACUAACCUAUUUCUCUCUAUAUUUUUCAGCACUUUCAAUAGAACUUCCUGCAAUGAUGGAAACGUUCUAUAUCUGUGCUGGCCAAUAGAGUAGUCACUAGCUACAGUUAAACAGCACCUGAAAUGUGACUAGUGUGGCUGAAGAAGUGAAUUUUUAGUUUAAUUUAAUUGGACACGUGUCUAGCAGCUAUCAUAUUGAACAGCACAACUCUAACCUAAUGAAAUUUUCCUUGAGUAUAACCCAGUCUUUCCACCUUCCUUUGCUUAGUUUGUCCUUUUUACCUGGAGUACCUGAUUGUCUGUCUUCACACAGAAGAAAUGUAGACAUCCUUAUAAGCCAUCCUUAUAAACACAGCCAUUACAAGUUCAAAUGUCUCCUAUUCUAUGACGUUUUUUUGAUCACACUAUGCAGAACUGUGAACUUCUCCAAUCUAUUACUUCUAUUUUCUUGUUCCAUGGCAUUUUAAAAGAAUCAUUUGUAAAAAUAAAUGAUAUUAAUAAGAAUUUUUUAAAAAAAA
rnacentral:lncRNA from 1 species